rnacentral:lncRNA from 1 species
CCGGCCUCCCUCCCUCCCGCCGGCCUCCCUCCAGCCCGGCUUCGCGCCCGCCUGCCCGGCCUCCCUCCCUCCCGCCGGCCUCCCUCCCUCCCACCGGCCUCCCUCCCUCCCGCCGGCCUCCCUCCAGCCCGGCCUCCCUCCCCCCCGCCGGCCUCCCUCUGGGGACGCCUCCGGAACGUUCUGGAACGCGGGGCCUCCCGGGACCGCGGGGGUGCCGGGCUCGGAGGGAGGCUGUGCGGGGAGGCUCCCCGGGCCGGGACGGGAGGGACGGGGGUUGGGGGGAGCAGGGUCGUGACCCCCACCGCCCGCUGGGGGGUCUUUUUGGCCGAGAAAGAAUGAAAAUCGGUCCCCGUUUUGCGUUUAUUUUUUUUUUUAAUUUUUUAUUUCUUGAGACAAGAGUCCCGCUCUGCCGCCCGGGCCGGGGUGAGCGCCGUGGCCUCAGCCUCCCUCACGGCAGCCUCCGAGUCCUGGCCUCCAGCAACGAGCCUCCCGCCUCGGCCUCUAACUCCUGACCUCAAGCGAUCCUCCCGCCUCGGCCUCCCUCCCGAGUAGCUGGGACUCCAGGCAUGCGCCUCCACGCCCGGCUCGUUUUUCUCUAUAUAUUUUUAGUUGCUCAAUUAAUUUCUUUCCAUUUUGAGUAGAGAUGGGGGGGGGGCGUCUCGCUCCAGCUCAGGCCGGCCUCCACCUCCCGGCCUCCGUCCGAUCCUCCCGCCCCGGCCUCCCCCUUUGCCCCGACCUCAGACCCAGGGCAGCCGCUGUCCCCGCAGGUUCCUGGCCGCCUUCCCGCUGAACGGCGAGCUGCCCGCCCGCCCCGGGGACGGGCUGGAGGCCACGCUGGAGGGGCGCUUCGCCGUCCGCGCGGCCCGGGACCACGAGGAGCGCGUGCACGGCAAGAAAACCUCCAAGGCGAGGCCCACGCAGGAGGCCGGAGGCCCAGGAAACCGCCCCUCGGGCCCCGGAGGGAAGCGCAAGAGCAAGAGCAAGAAGACAGGCGGCCUUGAGCCUCCAGCCUCCAGCCAGGGGGUAGAGGCCGGCCGAGGAGGCCGGGGAGGCCGGAGGCUGCGGCGGGCGGCGGCCUCCACGGCCUCCUACCGGGAGCAGAGCGGCAGUGAGGACGAGGAGGACAAGGCCGGCAGCGGCUCCGACGGGGAGGCC